rnacentral:rRNA from 1 species
AUUGAACGCUGGCGGCAGGCCUAACACGUGCAAGUCGAACGGUAACAGGAAACAGCUUGCUGUUUCGCUGACGAGUGGCGGACGGGUGAGUAAUGUCUGGGAAACUGCCUGAUGGAGGGGGAUAACUACUGGAAACGGUAGCUAAUACCGCAUAACGUCGCAAGACCAAAGAGGGGGACCUUCGGGCCUCUUGCCAUCGGAUGUGCCCAGAUGGGAUUAGCUAGUAGGUGGGGUAACGGCUCACCUAGGCGACGAUCCCUAGCUGGUCUGAGAGGAUGACCAGCCACACUGGAACUGAGACACGGUCCAGACUCCUACGGGAGGCAGCAGUGGGGAAUAUUGCACAAUGGGCGCAAGCCUGAUGCAGCCAUGCCGCGUGUAUGAAGAAGGCCUUCGGGUUGUAAAGUACUUUCAGCGGGGAGGAAGGGAGUAAAGUUAA